AGGCAACGCGGGUAGAAGUUUCAAUGGACUAUGUCAGUUCUGGGUCGCUCGAAGAUCCAUCCUUCAUCUCACUGUUGCUUGAUUUUGGAGCCAUGUCGUUUAUCGAACAAACCCUAACUUUCUCUUCAAGCCAGUUUGGUAUUUUCUAAGAAGACGACACAACUUUUAUGUCCGCAUAAUUAAGAAAGAUUAAAGUAUACAUGGUUGCUUGUAGUAUAAUUGAAAUUGCAGUUGCAAUUGAUCAAAACAAAGACCCUAUGUCAAGCAACUUUUGGCCUUUUGGAAAUGGUUUGAUUUAAUCCUCUCUUUUUUUCGUCGUGA